UUUAUUUUAAUUAUAUUUUUUGUUUUUUUUUUUUUACAAAUAAAAUGAAUAACGAGUUAUUGUUUUUUGACACUUUUUCUCAUGAUAUUUCAGAGGAAUUAAAUUUGGAUUUAGUACAAUUUCCAAAACCAGUUUAUAUCAGUGAGGUUAGAAUAAUACCACUUGGUGCAAGAGUACAAGCUGAUUUUCCAGGUGGUGUUCGACUUGGAGCAACAAAUCCAUCUCAAUUUGAAAUUGAGUUUUUUGUAAAUGACCUUAGUAAACCUGGUGCAUCAACAUUUGAAUCACUCGGUGGUUUAGAGUAUAAACAGAAUAUCCAUAUACAAUUAGAAUGCGAAAAAAAGCAAAUUCCAACGGAUGGAUUAGUUCUUCGUGGUUGGUAUACGACAAUAACUCUAGCUGUGUAUGGCAGUCUUACAAAAUCAGUGAUAGCUCCACCAGAAAUACCAGCACCACCAGCAGCAACAACAACUGCUGGUGUUAUAGCUGUCACAGAGGAAACAAAAAUACCAAAUGCAGAUGUUGUUAGUGCUGAGCCACAGCCAGAAUGGCAUCAAGAAAAAGAAAGUCAACCAUUAACGACUGAAAAAUCAGAAUCAAUUCUUCCAGCUGCUGCUGCUGCUGCUACCAUUACAACUACUGCUUCUGCAAAUGUUGCAACUACAACUACUACAGCUACUUCUGCUACUACUUCUACUCCUACUAUUAUUGCCACCUCUUCUACUGUUAUUGUAGCUACUGCUGCUGUUACUACUGCAACGGCUGCUGCUAGUAUUACUACUACUCCUGUUGUUGUUACUGCUACUGCUACUACGACUACUUCUACUAUUGCUGGUACUGUUACCGUUGCUACUGUUACUGAUGCUACUGUUAGUUCUGCUACUACUACUGCUGCUCAGCCUAUUUUAACAAUUGAAGAGUCUCAAAAGACUCCAACUGACGUACCACAGUCUGAUCAAUCAAAAUGGACACCUGAAGAAAAUACAAAUGCAACAAAAAGUCAACCAAAAACACCAAAAAGACCCUCAUCACCACCAUCUGAGAGUCUUGUAUCUCUUAGUCCAGAAUCUAUAUCUGCUGAAGAGGAAGAAGCUGAAAGAGAAACUGAAGAAGUUACUGAAGCUGUUGAACCAUUUGAACCAAUUUUAUCUGAUGAAGAAUUAAUGACUGAUGAUCCUCCAAAUAAUAAUGUUGAACUGUUUGAAAAUUUACCAGAUGACUUAUGGGCAAUUGAACCACCUGAUCUUUUGGAUUUACAAAAAUAUCCUGAUAAUAUUAAAAAUCAUGAAAUUAUAAAUGAUGAAAAUACAGAAAAAAUACGUGAAAUAAUAAAAUUACUUGGAAAAUUAGUUGUUAAUUUUAACAUUGCACCUGGACAAGAAAAAGAAACAUUUGUUCAUAAUUGUGAGAGUCUUGUUUUAAGUACAUUUUCUUCAACAAAUUUUAAUUCUCAUGAUUUUGAUGAAUUAUCAAAAAUAGUUAAUGCAGGAUUAGAUAUAGAACUUGCAAGAUCACAACCACAACCAGCUUAUAAAGUACGUCAUGUUAAAGUUGGUGUUCGUCUUGCUGAGUCAAUAUGUAGUAUAACAAAUGGAUCAAGUAUUUUACAAAGUAUUGAUGCACCAAAUAAAUUACUUAAACUUUGUAUGAAAGAAAAUGUUGCAUUACCAGUUAAAUUAGCUGCAUUAAGAGCUCUAGAUUCAGCAUUAAUGUAUCCAAUAAUUGUUGAAGAAUUUUUACAACCAAAUAAUAAUCUUUAUAGAAUGAUUUUGACAAUGUUAAAAGAAGCUAAACUUGCUAGAUUAAAGUAUGCUUUAACUUCUGUUAUACGAAAAAUUCAUGUAUACGAAUUACUAACAGAGAUUAAACAAUUUGGCUUACAAGAACAAGCUAUUUUAGAACUUACACAUGCUUAUUCAUGUGCACCAACAUUAAUGGCACAACCUAAACGACAAUUACCUGGUAGUAUGCAAAUGGAAUUUGAAAGAGAAUCAACAAGAAAUCCACGUAAACAUUUAAUAUCAUAUUUUAAUCAUUUUGGACUUUUACGAAAAAUUUUAUUGACACUUGUAUCACCAGAUUCAUCGGAAAAUCUUGUUAAAAUAAUCAGAGCAUUUUUAAUAAAUCUCUCGGAAACUGGAGAUGGUUUAUUGUAUCUAUUUGAUGAAGUUGACGUAACAAAAGUAUUACUAAAAGCUUUGAGAUUUGAACAAGAGUCUGAUGUUGGUUGUGAAAUUGCUUGGAGACUUCAAGUUGUACAGUGUCUUGUUCACAUUAAAGCACAAAUGACAAAUGACAAUAUUGAUUGGUUAAUUAUAAAAAAACUUCAUUCAUUUUUAACAUAUAGACAAGGACUUGAGGCAAUAAUUGCUGUUCUUCCAUUAAAUAAUUUUAUUGAUACAUUAAUUUCGCUAUUAUCAAAUCGUGAUUUAUCAGAAUUUGUUGCUGAAAUAAUUUCAACAACAAUUAAAUAUUCAAAUAACGUUGAAAUAUUACGUACACGUGCACAUGUACUUCUUCGUGAAUGUAAUAAUGGUCUUAUGCGUGAUGUUAUGACAAAUUUAACAGUUUCUGCAUCAUCAGCAAAUUGGAAUUACAGUGAUGUUUUAUCACUUGUUGUUAUUAUAAGAAAAUAUUCAGAAAAAGCAUCAUCAUUAUCUGGAGAACUUGUAACAGCUUGUCGUAUACUUUGUUAUCUUAUUUUUCCAUCAAACAAUGAUGUUGAUCCAUUGGAACCAUACGUUGAAUUAAAACAUCGUAAUGCAUUAACACAAUUAUAUGCUGCUGAUGGAUUAACUGCUCUUGUUGCUGUUAUAACAAAUUUGGCAAAUUUUUAUGAACAACCAUUUUUACAACGUGCUACAUUAACUGGUCGUCGUGGUAUGUUAUUACUAAGUGUUUUACAUUCAUGUAUACGUUUAAUUCGUGCACUUUUAGAACAUUUAGUUAAAUGUAUGGCAACUGAUUUUAAAGAUUUAACACCAGUUGUUCCUUUAUUAGGAAUUUAUUCACUUGUUGUUGCAAUACCAUGUCAAAAUAAAACAGAAAUUAAUUUACUUGCUGAUGAAAUUGCUGAAAUACUUUUACUUUUUACUCGUGCUGUUGAUUCAGAUAGUACUGGUAAUGUUGCUAAAUCAUUAUGGACACAAAUGAUUGGUGAAGUAUUAAAAAUGAUAUCAGCAAAACCAUGUAAAUUUGUACCUGGUUUAAAACUUUUAUCAAGAUUAUUACCACCAAUAUUACGUCUUGAUUGUGAUACUGAAGAAAAUGACAUUAAUAGAGCACUUGGUUUAAGAAAAUUAUGGUCAGCUCAUCUACAAGCACAAGCUAAUAAUUUAAUGGAAACAUUGAGAUUAUUAUGUGCAAGUUGGAAUGAAGAUUUAUUAAUAUUAUUAUCAGCUGUUUGUAAACAAUUAAGUGAUUUAGCAGCACCAACUGCAUUAUUAGUUGGUAGAUGUUUAUUAGAUAGAAUAUUAGCAGCAACACCAUUAGAAAAUAAUUCUCCAACAAUAGCUUUAUUGGGUGAUUUAACACUUCAUCCACCAGUUAAAGCAACAUUAUUGACAUUAAUGAGUCCAACAUCAAGAGCACAAAUUAAAACAGAUCAAAAAUAUCCACCAGUUGUUGAAAUGAUGUGUUCAGCAUUUAAAAAUUCAACAGAUACAAAUGUACAAUAUGAAAUACUUGAAAUUUUUUAUACUUUAUGUGAUCAUACAUUGAGUUUAACACAAGAUAAUAAUAAUGAAUUAUUUGAUAUUAAAUUAACACAUUCAGUACCAAGUAAAGAACCUUUAUUAUCAAUAUUAACAAUAUUAAUUGAUAUAUUAAGUAAUGGUAGUAAAUAUGAUGUUAAAAAUUUAGAAAAAUGUCUUGCUAUAUUUUUAUCAUUAACAAAACAUAAUUAUGGUCUUUAUCAUGUUAAAAGUUGUUUAGAAAAUAAUCCAGGUGUUUUAAAAACAUUUUUAGAAUAUACUGUAAGUCUUAUUGAUAAAGAAAAUGAUAAUAAUUCAGUAUCACUUGAUUCAUUGAUGAUGUUGACUAUUGGUUUACUUGAAAGUUUAGUAAACAGUGGAAAAUCAGAGGGUAGAUCAUUGUAUUUAAGAAUAUCACAACUUGCUGGUUUAUUAAUGUGGGAAAAUGGAAUGACACAACAUCCACUUGAAAAAAUUCGUGGUUCACAAGAUUUAGUUAAUGAUUUAAAAUCAUCAAUUGAAGGUGGUGAAGAUAAAGAACCAAUACCAGAAAUGUUAGAGCCAUUAUUACCAACACCUGAUGCAUUAUUAAAUCAAUUUUCUCAAAGAUCAAUUAAACGUUCAGCAAGUUGUUCACCAAUACGUUCAAGAAAAAGAUGCUUUCGUGGUUCAUUAACAUCUGAUUCAAUAUCUGUUGAUCUUAUGGCUCUUGCAACUGAAUUAUUACCUGGUGGUUUUAAUUUAUUAACUGAAGCACAAUUAUUAUGCUCAAAACGUCCAUCAGAAGAUACAAUUAAUCAUUUAUCAUCAAAAGGACAAAAUACAACAACAGAAAUUAAUCGUGAUAUUCAAAAAGUACCAAUUAUACCAAUAACUAAAACAAAACAACCAUUUGUAACACCUAUGAGAGGUAGAGCACAAUUUGUAACAUCACGAGGUGGUAUGACACCUGGUGGAAUUGGAAGAGGUGCUGAUCCAUUUAGAUCAAGACCACCAAAUACAUCUCGUCCACCGUCAUUACAUGUUGAUGAUUUUGUUGCACUUGAAACUUGUGGAGCACAACCAACUGGACCAACUGGUUAUAAUAAACUUAAUAUUAGAGGCACAUGUCCACCAAGAGGUGUCAUGAGUGGAAGCAGAUGUAGAACUUGGGUGGCUGAACCACGACCGCCAUAUCUCAGAUAAAUUGUUAUAUAAAAAAAAAAAAAAAUUAUAAUUUAGUUUAAAUUAUGUUUUUGAUUCAACUGAAAUUUUUUUUUAUUAAGUUAUAUCAGUUUACUUUUAAUUAUUAUCAAUUUUAUGUAUAAAAAAAAUUAAAAAAUAGACUAAAUUUAAGACUUAUUCAAUGAAGCUCAAAAAAAUAGAAAAGAUUUUUUAUUUAUUCUGUAAAUAAAUUUCAAUUAAUUAAAAAGGAUGAAUAAAAAAUUAUAAAAUAUUUAAAUUUAGAUAGAUGUAUAUAUAAAACUAAAAUGAAAAAAUAUUACAAUUAUAUUUUAUUCUUAUUUUGACUAUUUUCAAUGUGUCCAAACAAAGGAUCAGAGCGUUUAAAAACUUUGGCAAAAUACAGUAGUUCUCCAUCAAAUGAGAAAACUGAUGGAUUAUCAAACAACAUUAUUAACAUGGCCUGUGUCAGAUGUAAAAGGUGUACAUUUAAAAAAUGGAAAUAAGCUAAAAGCUAUUAAUUCAAAAUCGAUAAAAGAUAAUAUAAAAAUUCUUGAAAAAUAUUAAAACCAUUGUAUUGUCAAAAGUAUGAAUGGUUGUGAAUAAAAAUGUUAAUAAAUUUUUCUAAGAUGUACACUAUUAUAAGAAGGACAAUUGACCGCAUUUUAUUUCUAAUGUUGUAACUUGUAAGCUGAAAUUUUCUAAGAUU
rnacentral:misc_RNA from 1 species